rnacentral:misc_RNA from 1 species
UUGUUUAUUUAAAAUAUAAACUCAGACAAAUUAAUAAAAUAAAAAGAGUUAAGUUUUGGUUCCUUUGGCAAAGACACAUCCAUUAAUUUUCAUAAUCGAUGGCUUCUUGAAUUUAAGUAUCCUUUCUCUCCUUUUAAAAGAAGAAAGAAAAAACACUUUUCACUCAAAAAACGCUUCACCAAAGUAUCAUAAAUUGGUAACACAAAGGGUGGGAGAUUCACUUCGAAAAGCAAAAAAUCUCGGUAAUGAUCCUUCCGCAGGUUCACCUACGGAAA